rnacentral:rRNA from 1 species
CCUACGGGAGGCUGCAGUAAGGAAUAUUGGUCAAUGGGCGGAAGCCUGAACCAGCCAUGCCGCGUGCAGGAAGACUGCCCUAUGGGUUGUAAACUGCUUUUGUACCGGAAUAAACCUCAAUUCGUGAAUUGAGCUGAAUGUACGGUAAGAAUAAGGAUCGGCUAACUCCGUGCCAGCAGCCGCGGUAAUACGGAGGAUCCAAGCGUUAUCCGGAUUUAUUGGGUUUAAAGGGUGCGUAGGCGGCUCUUUAAGUCAGGGGUGAAAGACGGUGGCUU